rnacentral:rRNA from 1 species
UACGAAGGGGGCUAGCGUUGUUCGGAAUUACUGGGCGUAAAGCGCGCGCAGGCGGCUCUUCAAGUCAGGGGUGAAAGCCCAGAGCUCAACUCUGGAACUGCCUUUGAGACUGAAGAGCUUGAGUACGGGAGAGGUGAGUGGAAUUCCCAGUGUAGAGGUGAAAUUCGUAGAUAUUGGGAAGAACACCGGUGGCGAAGGCGGCUAUCUGGACCGUAACUGACGCUGAGGCGCGAAAGCGUGGGGAGCAAACAGG